UUCAAGUUCUGAGAAUUAUUCAGGCAGCGGUGGGAAGUGAAUCUGGUUUAUUCAGCUCCCAGAAUACCCUUACCACCAAGAUUUUCUUACUCCUUCUGCUGUUGACAAGAAAAACCUUUCUCGAUUACCCUUUCACAGAAUUUGCAGCUGUAACCAGUUCCUGGGCUAUAAAUGAGAGAAAAAAAGUUCAAAAUGGAGGAAAGCUUCUGGGAUGUUCCAGGUGCCUAAAAGGUGUUCCAGGAGCCGCCUAAAAGAAGAAACCCAUCUUCUAUUUCCCCCAGACCUGAUAGACUGACUGCAUGUGAACUUCAGUGGACUGGCUUUUUGGGGAGAAGCUAGCCACUUCUGGUCUUCUGUAGGGACUGGCACUUUGGACAAGUCCAUCCUGCUAUGAACUGCAAUCCCACCGAGACAUGCCAAAGUCUAACGUGGUUAGGCUACAUCUGCUGAAAUCAACACAAGGCUUGGGUUCAGUUGGACAGAGCCUGAUACCAGCUGUAUCUUGUUCUCACAGCCAUAGCAGGUGCAGUAAUAUGAUGAGGUUAACCACCAACUAAAGGGAUGCAGCAACCACUUCUCAUGCCUGUAGCUAUUGUAUUACGUGUGGUAGGAAAUGUCCCUCCUAUCUAUAUUGUUAUUGAUCAUAUCAUUACAAUGUUCACAGAGACUAGAAAUAAGAACAGUGUAGAACCAAAAAGAUUAAUUUCGCAGACAUUCAUCAUGAUCUUUCUUUCUUUUUUUUUUGUUCCCAUCCCCUGAGCUCUGGCUUUGAACA